rnacentral:rRNA from 1 species
GUGGGGAAUAUUGCGCAAUGGGCGAAAGCCUGACGCAGCAACGCCGCGUGGGGGAUGAAGGCCUUCGGGUUGUAAACCCCUUUCAGCAGGGACGAAGCGAAAGUGACGGUACCUGCAGAAGAAGCGCCGGCUAACUACGUGCCAGCAGCCGCGGUAAUACGUAGGGCGCAAGCGUUGUCCGGAAUUAUUGGGCGUAAAGAGCUCGUAGGUGGUUUGUCGCGUCUGCUGUGAAAACCUAGGGCUUAACCCUGGGCCUGCAGUGGAUACGGGCAGACUAGAGGUAGGUAGGGGAGAAUGGAAUUCCCGGUGUAGCGGUGAAAUGCGCAGAUAUCGGGAGGAACACCGGUGGCGAAGGCGGUUCUCUGGGCCUUACCUGACACUGAGGAGCGAAAGCGUGGGGAGCGAACAGGAUUAGAUACCCUAGUAGUCC